GUGGGGAAUAUUGGGCAAUGGGCGCAAGCCUGACCCAGCAACGCCGCGUGAGUGAAGAAGGUCUUCGGAUUGUAAAGCUCUGUCCUUGGGGACGAAGGAAGUGACGGUACCCAAGGAGGAAGCUCCGGCUAACUACGUGCCAGCAGCCGCGGUAAUACGUAGGGAGCAAGCGUUGUCCGGAAUUACUGGGCGUAAAGGGUGCGUAGGCGGUUUGAUAAGUCAGAUGUGAAAUAUCCGGGCUUAACCCGGAGGGUGCAUUUGAAACUGUCAGACUUGAGUGCAGGAGAGGAAAGCGGAAUUCCUAGUGUAGCGGUGAAAUGCGUAGAUAUUAGGAGGAACACCAGUGGCGAAGGCGGCUUUCUGGACUGUAACUGACGCUGAGGCACGAAAGCGUGGGGAGCAAACAGGA
rnacentral:rRNA from 1 species